GAUGAACGCUAGCGGCAGGCUUAACACAUGCAAGUCGAGGGGUAGAAAUAGCUUGCUAUUUUGAGACCGGCGCACGGGUGCGUAACGCGUAUGCAAUCUGCCUUGUACUGGGGAAUAGCCCGGAGAAAUCCGGAUUAAUGCCCCAUGGUAUUUUGUGUGGCAUCACACGAUUAUUAAAGAUUUAUCGGUACAAGAUGAGCAUGCGUCCCAUUAGUUAGUUGGUGUGGUAACGGCACACCAAGACGAUGAUGGGUAGGGGUCCUGAGAGGGAGAUCCUCCACACUGGUACUGAGACACGGACCAGACUCCUACGGGAGGCAGCAGUGAGGAAUAUUGGUCAAUGGGCGCAAGCCUGAACCAGCCAUGCCGCGUGCAGGAUGACGGCCCUAUGGGUUGUAAACUGCUUUUAUACGGGAAGAAACACCUCUUCGUGAAGAGGCUUGACGGUACCGUAAGAAUAAGGAUCGGCUAACUCCGUGCCAGCAGCCGCCGCCGUAA
rnacentral:rRNA from 1 species